GGCCUGGUGGUGUAGUGGUAACACCCCUGCUUUCAAUAAACGUUCAAACAUGAUAUCUAGCAGAUGUUCCUUGUUCGGCUCAAGGUCAGGCCA